ACGCUGGCGGCACGCCUAACACAUGCAAGUCGAACGAAGUAGCAAUACUUAGUGGCAGACGGGUGAGUAACAUGUAGGUAUCUGCCCUUUGGCCUGGAAUAACACGAGGAAACUUGUGCUAAUACCGGAUAAGUCUUUACGGAGAAAGCUUUAUGCACCAUUGGAUGAGCCUGCACUUGAUUAGUUUGUUGGUGGGGUAAUGGCCUACCAAGACUGUGAUCAAUAGCUGAUUUGAGAGGAUGAUCAGCCACAUUGGGACUGAGACACGGCCCAAACUCCUACGGGAGGCAGCAGUGGGGAAUCUUGCACAAUGGAGGAAACUCUGAUGCAGCGAUGCCGCGUGAGUGAAGAAGGCCUUUGGGUUGUAAAGCUCUUUCGUCGGGGAAGAAAAUGACUGUACCCGAAUAAGAAGGUCCGGCUAACUUCGUGCCAGCAGCCGCGGUAAUACGAAGGGACCUAGCGUAGUUCGGAAUUACUGGGCUUAAAGAGUUCGUAGGUGGUUGAAAAAGUUAGUGGUGAAAUCCCAGAGCUUAACUCUGGAACUGCCAUUAAAACUUUUCAGCUAGAGUAUGAUAGAGGAAAGCAGAAUUUCUAGUGUAGAGGUGAAAUUCGUAGAUAUUAGAAAGAAUACCAAUUGCGAAGGCAGCUUUCUGGAUCAUUACUGACACUGAGGAACGAAAGCAUGGGUAGCGAAGAGGAUUAGAUACCCUCGUAGUCCAUGCCGUAAACGAUGUGUGUUAGACGUUGGAAAUUUAUUUUCAGUGUCGCAGGGAAACCGAUAAACACACCGCCUGGGGAGUACGACCGCAAGGUUAAAACUCAAAUGAAUUGACGGGGACCCGCACAAGUAGUGGAGCAUGUGGUUUAAUUCGAAGAUACGCGCAGAACCUUACCAACACUUGACAUGUUCGUCGCGACUCUAAGAGAUUAGAGUUUUCGGUUCGGCCGGACGAAACACAGGUGCUGCAUGGCUGUCGUCAGCUCGUGUCGUGAGAUGUUGGGUUAAGUCCCGCAACGAGCGCAACCCUCACUUUUAGUUGCCAUCAUUAAGUUGGGCACUCUGAAAGAACUGCCAGUGAUAAGCUGGAGGAAGGUGGGGAUGACGUCAAGUCCUCAUGGCCCUUACGUGUUGGGCUACACACGUGCUACAAUGGUAUCUACAACAGGAAGCAAGACUGCGAAGUUAAGCAAAUCCCUAAAAGAUACCUCAGUUCGGAUUGCACUCUGCAACUCGAGUGCAUGAAGCUGGAAUUACUAGUAAUCGUGGAUCAGCGUGCCACGGUGAAUGCGUUCCCGGGUCUUGUACACACCGC
rnacentral:rRNA from 1 species